UUUCAGAUGGACAAAAUGGCCGCCAAUGUGAUCCUUGUCUCUCAUUGGCUGAUUCCAGAUGGACAAAAUGGCCGCCGAGGUGAUCCUUGUCUCUCAUUGGCUGAUUCCAGAUGGACAAAAUGGCCGCCAAUGUGAUCCUUGUCUCCCAUUGGUUGAUUCCAGAUGGACAAAAUGGCCGCCAAUGUGAUCCUUGUCUCUCAUUGGAUAAUCUCACCCAAUCAAGAUGGCCGCCAAUGUGAUCCUUGUCUCUCAUUGGCUGAUCUCAGCCAAUCAAGAUGGCCGCCAAUGUGAUCCUUGUCUCUCAUUGGUUGAGCCUAACCAAUCAAGAUGGCCGCCAAUGUGAUCCUUGUCUCUCAUUGGCUGAUUCCAGAUGGACAAAAUGGCUGCCAAGGGAUCCUUGUCUCUCAUUGGUUGAUCUCACCCAAUCAAGAUGGCCGCCAAUGUGAUCCUUGUCUCUCAUUGGCUACUCGCAGACAAGACAAAAUGGCCACCAUCGUCUCUCAUUGGCUGACUCUGUCCAGCCAAAA